UAUCUUUAUUUAUGUUCCGUUCAAUUCUUCUUUAAUUAAAGUUUGAUUCUUUCUUUUAGGUUUGGAUUUUGAAUUAUUUUAUAUGUAAGAUUUUACUUUUUUAAUCUAAAUGAUUAUUUUGUAAUCAGUAUUUAAUUUUGGUUUUUAUUGAAAGAUAAAAUCAGGAUUUUAAUUAUUUAACUGACAAAAAUUGUGCCAGCCGUCGCGGUUAUACAAUUAGUUAAAUUAAACUUUUUUGAUUAUAUAUUAAUUUUGUUUUUUAUAAUUUUAAUUUUGAUUUUUAGGUGAAAUUUUAAUUAUAUAUAUAUUAUAGGUUGAUGAUUUUAUAUAUGAAGAUUUUUUUAUAAACUAGGAUUAGAUACCCUAUUAUUUUAAUUGUAAAUUUUUUUAAUAUUAAUAGUUAUGUUCUUUAAAUUAAAAGAAUUUGGCGGUUAUUUAAUUUUUCUAGAGGAACCUGUCCUGUAAUUGAUAAUCCACGAUUGAUUUUACUUUAAUUAUAUUUAUAUAUCGCUGUCAUUGAAUGUUUUAAAAGAUUAUUUUCUUAAAUUUUUAUGAAGUUAAUGUUAGGUCAAGAUGUAGUUAUAUUAAAGAAGAGAUGGGUUACAUUUAUUUUAUUAAUGGUGAGGAAUUUGAAAUUGUUUUCUUUAAAAUUGGAUUUAGGUGUAAUUUUUAUAAAAUAAUAAUUUUGAUUUUAGUUCUAAAUAAUGUACACAUCGCCCGUCACUCUCAUUUUAAGUUGGGAUAAGUCGUAACAAAGUAGGCCUACUGGAAAGUAGGCCUGGUUAGU
rnacentral:ncRNA from 1 species